GACGAACGCUGGCGGCGUGCUUAACACAUGCAAGUGGAGCGACGAACCAGGGCUUGCCCUGGGGCAGAGCCGCGAACGGGUGAGUAACACGUGGGUAACGUGCCCCGAUGACUGGGACAACCCGGGGAAACCCGGGCUAAUACCGGAUGUGCCCCCUCACAUCAGUGAGGUGUGUAAAGGAAGCUUCGGCCUCCGCAUCGGGAUCGGCCCGCGGCCCAUUAGCUUGUUGGUGAGGUAACGGCUCACCAAGGCUGCGAUGGGUAGCUGGUCUGAGAGGACGAUAGGCCACACUGGGACUGAGACACGGCCCAGACUCCUAGGGGGGCAGCAGUGGGGAAUCUUGCGCAAUGCGCGAAAGCGUGACGCAGCAACGCCGCGUGGGGGAAGACGGCCUUCGGGUUGUAAACCCCUUUCAGUUGGGACGAAGGUCGGGCGGUUAACAGCCGUUCCGGCUGACGGUACCUUCACAAGAAGCCCCGGCUAACUACGUG
rnacentral:rRNA from 1 species